AGUGAACGCUGGCGGCAGGCCUAACACAUGCAAGUCGAACGGCAGCACAGAGGAGCUUGCUCCUUGGGUGGCGAGUGGCGGACGGGUGAGGAAAACGUCGGAAUCUGCCUAUUUGUGGGGGAUAACGUAGGGAAACUUACGCUAAUACCGCAUACGACCUACGGGUGAAAGCGGAGGACCUUCGGGCUUCGCGCAGAUAGAUGAGCCGACGUCGGAUUAGCUAGUUGGCGGGGUAAAGGCCCACCAAGGCGACGAUCCGUAGCUGGUCUGAGAGGAUGAUCAGCCACACUGGAACUGAGACACGGUCCAGACUCCUACGGGAGGCAGCAGUGGGGAAUAUUGGACAAUGGGCGUAAGCCUGAUCCAGCCAUGCCGCGUGUGUGAAGAAGGCCUUCGGGUUGUAAAGCACUUUUGUCCGGAAAGAAAAGCACUGGGUUAAUACCCUGGUGUCAUGACGGUACCGGAAGAAUAAGCACCGGCUAACUUCGUGCCAGCAGCCGCGGUAAUACGAAGGGUGCAAGCGUUACUCGGAAUUACUGGGCGUAAAGCGUGCGUAGGCGGUUUGUUAAGUCUGAUGUGAAAGCCCCGGGCUCAACCUGGGAAUGGCAUUGGAUACUGGCAAUCUAGAAUGUGGUAGAGGGUGGCGGAAUUCCCGGUGUAGCAGUGAAAUGCGUAGAUAUCGGGAGGAACAUCCGUGGCGAAGGCGGCCACCUGGACCAACAUUGACGCUGAGGCACGAAAGCGUGGGGAGCAAACAGGAUUAGAUACCCUGGUAGUCCACGCCCUAAACGAUGCGAACUGGAUGUUGGGUUCAAUUGAGAACUCAGUAUCGAAGCUAACGCGUUAAGUUCGCGCCUGGAAGUACGGUCGCAAGACUGAAA
rnacentral:rRNA from 1 species